AGUGGGCGCAAUGGGCCAGGGCCGUCCCCCAAUCCGGCUGGGCUGAGUCAUGUGGGCAGGCAGGUGGAAAAUCCCAGCUGGGGACAGGCACCGCGUCUUCUGGGUCCUCAUACAGCUCACCCCCUGGUCUCCUGCUCCCCCCAGCUCUCCAGAGAUGGCAGAACCUCAAGGAGGAGCCAGCUGUGUGAGCCACUGGGGCCAAGAGAGAGGACACCACAGCGGUACAAAGGGCCACUUUACUGUCCUGUGCAGCAGGGACGUGGCUCUGGCACUCAAGAGCAAGGACAAUGGCAAGUGUCUUCACAGCCUCGUGAGGAGCUGGAAGCAGGCAACUCAGCCAGAGAUGACCCAGGUGGCUGCCUCCUGGGACCGGCGGACACCAGGCCAGUCCACGUGGCUCUCGCCAGUGCGCCCCAGCUUGUGCUAAUGCAGACACUGGGCACUCGUGAGUGAAGGAGUGUGCGGGCGUCCACUCCGGUAGGUGCAGGGCCCGCCCCAGCCCCUGCCCACCCAGAUUAUUAGGGAGCAGACUCCGAUCUGGGAUUGCUCCUCCUGCAGAGCUGCACCUCUCUCCAAACAACACACAGUGCUGCUGUCACGCUCAGCAGGACGAGGACUCCGGGCGGCUUCCUGGCACCUCGGUGUGCAUGGCCCAGUGCUCCCUGUCUCAACUGGCUUGAGGUCUCCUUGCUUCACUUCUCUCCUUCCCCCACGUGUGUGUUUGGUCGAGGAAACCUGCGUCCAGAGCGCACAGACGUCCCUGCCUUCGCUGUGGGUGCCGUGGCCUCGUGCCAUUGACCCGGCUCCCAGGUCCCGUCUGCAGGUGUGCCUGCUCAGCACAUUUACACCAGCGGACCACGCAGCGUGGGCCUUGCGUCCAGCUUCCAGUCCACUGCAGCCAGUCUGGGCAGGUGACCACCAUUGCACGGACACUGGGUGCUUCCUCUGAAGUCACUGGCCACUGAGAGGAGGCCCUCAUCACCUGGACCACGAAUCCACAGGGAGCGUGAGUUUGACGUCCUCCCUGUAUCAGGCCUUUCCCUGUGUGAGGUGGAACCCUUCCACCCAUGCGUCUGCCCCUGCCCCUCCACGCUGCCCUGAGGUACAGUCCUGCCUUCACACUACUCGCUUCCAAAGCCCCCAUGGCCGGGAGUGGCUCGGGGGUCGAACACGUGCCCAGCAGGCCAGGCUCCUGGUCUCCGUCCCCAGCACAGGGCAGGCACCCGUGGCUUGGUUCCCGGAGCUUUGGCUUGGGGGUUCUGGGACUCACUGUGAGCUCAGCACAGCAGACGUUGCGGUUGUCACCCUCAGGACCCCUCAGUCCCCUUGGGACUCCCAAGCCCUCCACUGAGCGUCUCAGGGCUCCCAACUCUAUUUCACCAGACAGGCCAUGCUGAACUCCAGGUGGCCUUGUGGCAGGUCCACCCUGUCCUCCCCUCGCCCCGCCUCUCCUCGUCGGGAACCUCCCUGCCCUAUCCCUGGCUGCUCCGUCCCAGUUCACCCCAGGGUGCUGCAAACGUUCUCCUGUGCAUGGAUCAUAUUCUUGUCAAGAAGAGAAAGAACGGAAGGUGAGCACCGGGGGCCCAGCCCUUGCCCCACCCAGUUCGUUGUGGUCACUGUAAACAAUGAGGGCACAGUCCAGGCCUGUCGAGCCUUGUGACAGGCAUUCCUGCUGCCCAGGAGAGAGGGGCCAGGAAAAGCAAGGCACCUGCAGUGCCCCAGGGCACAGGCCAGCGGGGCAGAGAGCCAGCUUGUAGGUUGCUCGGGACAGGAAGGGCCCAGGACAGGACCCCAGCUGACUGCUGGUGGCUGGCGCCUCACAGGCCCCCGCUGGGAACGCCUGUAGGAACAUCUUCCACAGCCACCUGGGAGAGGGCACCUGCAGCCCCACUGCAGGGAUGGCAUCUGGUAGCCUAGUCAGUUGGAGCCAUGGACACAGAACAUUUCUGCCCAGCAGUUUUCCAUUCUCUUGGCAGGAGCCUGUUCCACUGCGGGUGGGUCAGCUGCGGAGGCUGCCCCCUCAGGGUCUGUUAGAGGAGUCUUUUCUUGACUCUGGUUGGUUCUGCGUGCAUCGAACUCGUGGGCCUCACAUCGUCACCAAAUGAGACUCGGCCCACCCUCUCUGGUCCAGGAUUGUGCAGCACCCUGAGCAUGCUGGAGUCUGGCCCAAACAGUCUGCUGACAUGAAAACCUGACGGGAAGCAGGAUCCAGCCCUGGCGCUUCCCUCCCGGCUCUGGCUGUGGGUCCUCGGGCCUUGCUUCUGCUGCAUGCCACUCAGCAGCUGCGCCACACACUGGGGACUUGUCUCUCUGUGAGCCCGCUUGGUCAGCCAGGCAACAGGGACCAAGGACUCCCACAGGUGCCCCCUCUGAAGCCUGUGUUAAAACUGGCCCAGUGGCCUCCAUGUAGAAGCAGUGGGCAGCGUGUGCCCCGGAGGAGGCCGGGCCUUCCUUUCUGAAAGCCCCCGGGUGCUCUCAUGGUCAGCCAGAGCCCAAGGCUGAGAACAGGGACCCUGAAGGCAAAACUGGCACACUUCCUGUCCGGCUUUGUUUGAGCGGCUAAGAAAUGGUGUGCCAAGGCCAGGAGCUUGGGUUCCAGGGUUGGCAGGCUGGCCUGUGGGGUCGGGGUCAUGGGGGCAUCCUGUGCAUCCCAUGCGCCAUGCAGACCUUAUAGCCGUUCAGACAGGACAAGGACUGAAACUCCCCGCCUCAGGGUCACGGCCCUCCCCGGCCCACUGCCCCUCUGUGUACUGUAGCCUGGGUCCACGUCUCCCGAGGGUGGCCUCAGGGGCCUGGGGUGAGCAUGGGGCGGACUGCUGGCGGCUCCAGAGCCUCGAGCCAGCCCUCAUCUAGGUCCUUGACUCCUCGAGGCCUCAGUUCUCCUGGCUGGAAAAUGAAGGAGCUGGACUCUAAAGUCUCUGUCUCUGCUAACACCUUCUGAAGUUUUCCACUUGUGUCCUGAGAACCCGGGGUACCCGGCAGCUCAGAGAGCCCAGGGGCUGAUCCUGGCAGGGGUGUCACUCCCUUUCUGCUGGUGUUGGACCCUGUGAAGUCCUCGAGUCCCUGUCACUAGCCUCUGGGCAAUGCUUUGUGGGAUCUGGUCAAGCCUGAGCCUCGUUAGGGCCCUCAUUGGAGUCCCUGGGGCAGUGCCUCUCUGAGCCAGCAGAGGGCGGCAGUGCCCCAGCUGAGCCCAGCCAGGCCUAGGGAGAGGCCAAGGUGUCCCACUGCGUGCACUGAAACUUCCGGAGACUGGGACUCCCCUGAGCCAGAGGAGCCAGGAGGUCUCGGAUUGGCUGUGUCCCCCACCGCCCUGGCUGGGCACCCUAAGGUCCCAGAAAGCUAGCCUGGAGGGGAGCUGGGCCUCGGCAUCCUCCUGCAGGCCCCCGGUAGGUGGGGGUGGCGCCGGGUGCAAGGCUGGGGAGGCCCUAGUGUGGCAGGUGCUCAAGUGCCUGGGGGAGCCAUAGGCAUGAGUCCCUUUCCCUGCUUCCCACUGGCUGGCCACUCGGGGUUGCUCUGGGGCCCUGCUCCCAGGCUGGCGGCCUGGUGGACAGAUCCCCUCUGGACACUAGUGUGGCUGGGGUCUGGGGUCGUGUCUUCCCAGCUGGGACUCCUGCCCUGGCAUCUCUGGGUGGGAUGGGGACUAGUUUCAAAGGCAGAUUCUGUCCCCACCCAGGCCCAUGGGGGUGGGCUCCCAGGGGUGGCCGGGAGCUGCAGACUUAGCUGCAUCCAUGCAAGUCUGAAGGCCCGAGUCUGCGACCCCCAUGGGCUCAGCUCAGAGCCCUCCGCAUCCCACUCCCCCGAGCCCAACCCACACCCUGGUUCAUCUGGCUCAGCCCUGGAGCUUUGAGCCAGGGUGCCUCACACACCUGCCCUCAAGUGCUCUGCCCACCGAGGCGGGGACCCCCACAGGGCAAGGUCCUUCCGUGAGUUUCAGGUCUUGUUCCCAUCUGGUUCUGUCCCUCACCUGAGGGCUCCUGUUUGCCGACAGUGACAGCCCCAUUGGCUGGCGGGGUCUGGUCUGCAGGUGAGAUGCACGCGGCCAAGUCCCCCAGGAGCAGCCUGAGCUGAGCCGUCCCCCAGGUCCCGCCUGCGCCUUGAGCUCACAGGUUCAGAGCAGAACUGUGGCCUCGGCAGCCGGAGUCUGGCAAGCCCGAGGCUGGGCGGGACUUGAAGGAACCCUAACAGCUGUGGCAGAAGGGACGCCCUGUCUGGAUGUACCCUGAUUCUGAUCCUCGCAACCAGCCCCCGAGCCGGCAGCUCUUCCUCGGCCGCGCAGGCUCCUGGAGCAGAGGCAGGGCCCCGAGACCCAGCUGGCGAGUGGGAG
rnacentral:lncRNA from 1 species